UACGUAGGUGGCAAGCGUUAUCCGGAAUUAUUGGGCGUAAAGCGCUCGCAGGCGGUUUCUUAAGUCUGAUGUGAAAGCCCACGGCUCAACCGUGGAGGGUCAUUGGAAACUGGGAGACUUGAGUGCAGAGGAGGAGAGUGGAAUUCCACGUGUAGCGGUGAAAUGCGUAGAGAUGUGGAGGAACACCAGUGGCGAAGGCGACUCUCUGGUCUGUAACUGACGCUGAGGAGCGAAAGCGUGGGGAGCAAACAGG
rnacentral:rRNA from 1 species